AACGAACGCUGGCGGCAUGCCUAACACAUGCAAGUCGAACGAACCUUUCGGGGUUAGUGGCGCACGGGUGCGUAACGCGUGGGAAUCUGCCCUUGGGUACGGAAUAACUCACCGAAAGGUGUGCUAAUACCGUAUGAUGUCGAAAGACCAAAGAUUUAUCGCCCAGGGAUGAGCCCGCGUAGGAUUAGCUAGUUGGAGAGGUAAAGGCUCACCAAGGCGACGAUCCUUAGCUGGUCUGAGAGGAUGAUCAGCCACACUGGGACUGAGACACGGCCCAGACUCCUACGGGAGGCAGCAGUGGGGAAUAUUGGACAAUGGGCGCAAGCCUGAUCCAGCAAUGCCGCGUGAGUGAUGAAGGCCUUAGGGUUGUAAAGCUCUUUUACCCGGGAAGAUAAUGACUGUACCGGGAGAAUAAGCCCCGGCUAACUCCGUGCCAGCCGCCGCAGUAAAAC
rnacentral:rRNA from 1 species